rnacentral:rRNA from 1 species
AUUGAACGCUGGCGGCAGGCCUAACACAUGCAAGUCGAGCGCGAAAGUUUUCGGAUGAGUAGAGCGGCGAACGGGUGAGUAACGCGUGGAAAUCUGCCUGGUAAUGGGGGACAACAUCUCGAAAGGGAUGCUAAUACCGCAUACGCCCUAAGGGGGAAAGUGGGGGAUCUUCGGACCUCACGUUAUCAGAGGAGCCCGCG